rnacentral:rRNA from 2 species
AUCUUCUGGCCCUGGAUCCGUUUCAUCGCUGAUGGUGGUAUCGACGAACGCAUUGUCUAAAUUCAGUGCUUCGAAGAUAGGAUUGCUGUCGCUAUCGACAAUACCCGAUACGCUGACGCGGAACACUUCAUCGCCUUCCGCAUACACAUCGUCCACCGUAUCGAUGGUAAACGUAGCCGUCACACCAUCCGCACCAAUCACUGCUUGAGUGGUUUCAGUGAUGUCAUCACCCGAUGCAGUGGUAUAGCUGUAAGCGAGCGUAACGAUACUACCGACUGGCGCCGGAUCGCUCAGUGUCACGGUGUAGUCUGUGGUGGUGUCGCCUUCUACGACAUUCGCUGGACCAGUCAUGGU